rnacentral:rRNA from 1 species
UACGUAGGGGGCGAGCGUUGUCCGGAUUUAUUGGGCGUAAAGAGCGUGUAGGCGGCUAGGUAGGUCCGCUGUGAAAACUCGGGGCUCAACCCCGGGAGGCGGAUGGAUACUGCUUGGCUCGAGUCCGGAAGAGGCGAGUGGAAUUCCCGGUGUAGCGGUGAAAUGCGCAGAUAUCGGGAGGAACACCAAUGGCGAAGGCAGCUCGCUGGGACGGUACUGACGCUGAGACGCGAAAGCGUGGGGAGCAAACAGG